rnacentral:rRNA from 1 species
UGCGCAGGUGGGCUUGUAAGUCAGUGGUGAAAUACUGCCGCUUAACGGGAGAACUGCCAUUGAUACUGCGGGUCUUGAGUAUGGUUGAGGUAGGCGGAAUGUGUUGUGUAGCGGUGAAAUGCAUAGAUAUGACACAGAACGCCGAUUGCGAAGGCAGCUUACUAAGCCAUUACUGACACUGAGGCACGAAAGCGUGGGGAGCGAACAGGAUUAGAUACCCUGGUAGUCC